rnacentral:lncRNA from 1 species
GAAAGGGGCGUGGGGACUGUUACUGAAAAGCGGAGGAAGCUCUCUGGAGAAACGCCGUGAGGCCGCUGGCGGGGCCUUCCUGGUGUCAGGGUUACCGUGCUCUAUGCCCAGGUCUCUGUGGCUGGGCUGCUCCAGCCUGGCGGACAGCAUGCCUUCGCUGCGAUGCCUGUAUAACCCAGGGACUGGCGCACUCACAGCUUUCCAGAAUUCCUCAGAGAGAGAAGACUGUAAUAAUGGCGAACCCCCUAGGAAGAUAAUACCAGAGAAGAAUUCACUUAGACAGACAUACAACAGCUGUGCCAGACUCUGCUUAAACCAAGAAACAGUAUGUUUAGGAAGCACUGCUAUGAAGACUGAGAAUUGUGUGGCCAAAACAAAACUUGCCAAUGGCACUUCCAGUAUGAUUGUG